rnacentral:rRNA from 1 species
UUUAGCAAAGGCAGCAAUGGGAAUUUCCGCAAUAGGACGGAAAGUCCUGAUGGCAGCAACGCCGCGUGAGUGAUGAAGGCCUUCGGAUUGUAAAACUCUGUUGUUUGGGAAGAACAUGAGCUAGUUGAAUAAACUGGCACCUUGACGGUACCUAACCACAAAGCCACGGAAUAACUACGUGCCAGCAGCCGCGGUAAUAA